rnacentral:lncRNA from 1 species
CCCAUUAUGGGAAGAAGCACCCCGGCAUGAAGGUGAAGGCUGCUGACUUCGCGCAGGACAUCGACAUCAACCCAGGUGCCGUCUACAAAUGCAGGCAUUGUCCCUACAUCAACACUCGCAUCCACGGUGUCCUGACUCACUACCAGAAGCGACAUCCGGCCAUCAAGGUGACCGCGGAGGACUUUGUGCACGACGUGGAGCAGUCUGCGGACAUAACCCAGAACGACAUGGAGGAGACGAGCAGGAU